UUAUAAAUCAAGUGGGAACCUAGCACAGCU
rnacentral:piRNA from 1 species